GUACUUGGUGAUGAACGGGUAAUCUGCAUCCUGAGGUUUAAAACUUUAUAAGCAUUUACGUAUGUGACUAUAUAGUUUUUUUAAUCCUCGGGAUACAGAUUACCUCUUCCUUACUCGAAGUAC
rnacentral:pre_miRNA from 1 species